rnacentral:rRNA from 1 species
CCUACGGGAGGCAGCAGUAGGGAAUCUUCGGCAAUGGGCGAAAGCUUGACCGAGCGACGCCGCGUGCAUGAUGAAGGCCUUCGGAUUGUAAACUGCUGUUAUAAGGGAAGAAAGAUGAUAGUAGGAAAUGACUAUCUAUUGACGGUACCUUAUGAGAAAGUGACGGCUAACUACGUGCCAGCAGCCGCGGUAAUACAUAGGUUGCAAGCGUUAUCCGGAAUUAUUGGGCGUAAAGAGCGCGCAGGUGGUUAAUUAAGUCUUAUGGUAAAGCCCGGGGCUUAACCCUGGGGCGGAAUUGGAUACUGGUUGACUAGAGUGAAGUAGAGGGAAGUGGAAUUCCAAGUGAAGCGGUGAAAUGCGUAGAUAUAUGGAAGAACACCAGUGGCGAAGGCAGCUUCCUGG